rnacentral:miRNA from 1 species
ACCAGGAGGCUGAGGCCC